GUGGGGAAUCUUGCGCAAUGGGCGAAAGCCUGACGCAGCCAUGCUGCGUGAAUGAUGAAGGUCUUAGGAUUGUAAAAUUCUUUCACCGGGGACGAUAAUGACGGUACCCGGAGAAGAAGCCCCGGCUAACUUCGUGCCAGCAGCCGCGGUAAUACGAAGGGGGCUAGCGUUGCUCGGAAUUACUGGGCGUAAAGGGCGCGUAGGCGGACAGUUAAGUUGGGGGUGAAAGCCCGGGGCUCAACCUCGGAACUGCCUUCAAUACUGGCUGUCUUGAGUAUGAGAGAGGUGUGUGGAACUCCGAGUGUAGAGGUGAAAUUCGUAGAUAUUCGGAAGAACACCAGUGGCGAAGGCGACACACUGGCUCAUUACUGACGCUGAGGCGCGAAAGCGUGGGGAGCAAACAGGAUUAGAAACCCGAGUAGUCC
rnacentral:rRNA from 1 species